GAGGCCCCUGCAGCAGCAGCGGCGUGGUCAGAGCGAGCUUCGGAGAAGCAGUGGUGGGUUCCAUGUGAUGGUGGAGUAGGAGGCAGGUCUCCGCGGUUCAUCUGUGUUGCUCUAAAUGACACUGCUUCAUUAUUUUGAUGGCUGGAGAAUAUUUCCUAGUGUAUGUAUAUGAGAGUUUCUUGAUCUCUUUAUCUGUGGAUGAACAGCUACUUUGAAACAUAUGGUACAUUUGUGUUAAGGCUAGUCACCCUGCUGUGGAAUAGAAGGCCAGAAUUGAUCAGUCUCAUCUGAGAGUAACUUUGUACCCAUCACUGAUUCCUUCUGAGACUGCCUCCACUUCCCCAGCAGCCUCUGGUUUCUUCAUGUGGCUGCAGAUGGCAGGAUUUCCCAAAGGUUUCUGGCUGAAACAUAUUCCGUGGUGUAUCUGUACAGCAGUUUCCUCAUCCCUGCAGCUGUGUUUGAACAGGUCAUUUACCAUGCUGUCCUCCAGGUUCAACAGUAUGGCUCCAAAUGAUGAAAUUUCAUUCUGAUUUUCUGGCUGAAGACUAUUCUCUUUGUGUAUGUCCACCACAGUUACUUUAUCCCUUCAUCUGUGGAUGGGCAGUCUCGCUGUAUUGCCCAGGCUGGAGUGCAGUGGCAUGAUCUCAGCUCACUGCAAGCUCUGCUUCCUGGGUUCACGCCAUUCUCCUGCCUCAGCCUCCUGAGUAGCUGGGAUUACAGGCACCCGCCACCACGCCCAGGAAAGAAAAAAGAAGAAAACAAACCUCCAUACGAGAAUGGGUCUAAAGGAACUUCCCAAACCUCCAUGAUUUUGCAGGAAACAAGAUAAAGGUGGUUUCCACAAGAAAAAUGGCACAAUGUUUCUCAGAAGACAAUUACAUAAGAAUCAGCAUACUUCAAAUUCACAGCAAAUAAUCAGACAAUUGAUGAAAAUACUUACCCAAACACUAAUUGUAGACUAUGCCUUCUGAAUAUGUUUGUCAUAAACUUGGAGUAAGGAAUCCUCACAGGCACUGGACAAUUCAAAAAACGUAAAGUUGUUUGUUAGAAUACUGGUGCUUUUGGAUAGAAACCCUCAUCCAUAUCCUGGUAAGGCUUGAAGUUGCACAGGAGUUUUCAUUUGUCAAAACCCAGAAAACCAUAAGCUUUAGAUUUGUGAAUUUUAUAUUGUAUUAUAUGUGACCUUUCUUUUUAAAAAAUGAGCUGUAAGCAGUCUCCCAGACAGUAGCUCAGCCUCCAGAACUCUCUUUCUGCAUAGUUGAAGACCCCUCUUCACACAAGAUGGUAGCAACAAAUCAUAGGUGCAAUUGCACCAAAUUCACAGAAGAUCAAUUGAAAAUCCUCAUCAAUACCUUCACUCAAAAACCUUACCCAGGUUAUGCUACCAAACAAAAACUUGCUUUAGCAAUCAAUGCAGAAGAGUCCAGAAUCCAGAUUUGGUUUCAGAAUCAAAGAGCUAGGCAUGGAUUCCAGAAAACACCAGAACCUGACUUUAGAUUUAAGCCACAGCCAUGGACAAGAUUAACCUGGUGUGGAGUUUCAAAAUAGAGAAGCCAGAUGGUGUUGUACCACCUAUAGCACCUUUCAAUUACACACAGUCAUCCAUGCAUUUAUGAAAAACCCAUACCCUGGGAUUGAUUCCAGAGAACAACUUGCUGAAGAAAUUGGUGCUUCAGAGUCAAGAGUCCAAAUUUGGUUCCAAAAUCAAAGAUCUAGAUUUCAUCUCCAGAGAAAAAGAGAACCUGUUAUGUCCUUAGAAUGAGAAGACCAGAGAAGACCAGGGGCAAGGUUUCUGAGGGACUUCAAGGUACAGAAGAUACACAAAGUGGCACCAGCCUCACUAGCACUCUCAUUUCUCAAGAGCCAGAACAUGGUGAAUACAGUCAAGUUCAGUGUAUUUGAUAAUAUCAAUUUGGGCCCCAAAUCUCUCUCACAGUCUUCCUGGGAGUCUAUUCUUCUUCCAAAAGUGCAAGCUAAGCCUUCUGAAGAUGGUAAAGAACUUGGCCGGGUGUGGUGGCUCAUGCCUGUAAUCCCAGCACUUUAGGAGGCUGAGGCUGGAAGAUGGCUUGAGCCUAGGAGUUUGAAACCAGUCUGAGCAACAUAGUAAGACCCUGUCUCUAUUCUAAAAAACAAAAUAAGUAAAAAGGACUGUAGGAGGCCAAGACAGGUACAGGAGGCACCACACUACCCUGUUGACACAGCCUGGAUCCAGAGUUCAGCAGACCUUGAGACAAUGAAAACAAACUUAGUAAUAAUCAUUUUUCAAUCAUUGCAGUAAUUAUUGAUUUGGACAAAAAUCAAUUGAUGUCAAAACCUUAAAGUGACGUUUCUCUGCCUAUGGAGUGGUCAUUCUUUUAUUCCUUUAGUUUCAUAAUAAAUUUUCUUUUACUUAAAAAAA
ensembl:lncRNA DUXAP8 double homeobox A pseudogene 8